rnacentral:rRNA from 1 species
AUUGAACGCUGGCGGCAUGCCUUACACAUGCAAGUCGAACGGCAGCACGGGGGGUAACCCCUGGUGGCGAGUGGCGAACGGGUGAGUAAUAUAUCGGAACGUGUCCUGUAGCGGGGGAUAACCUAUCGAAAGAUGGACUAAUACCGCAUACGACCUACGGGUGAAAGCGGAGGACCGCAAGGCUUCGCACUAUAGGAGCGGCCGAUAUCGGAUUAGCUAGUUGGCGGGGUAACGGCCCACCAAGGCGACGAUCCGUAGCUGGUCUGAGAGGACGAUCAGCCACACUGGAACGGAGACACGGUCCAGACUCCUACGGGAGGCAGCAGUGGGGAAUUUUGGACAAUGGGCGCAAGCCUGAUCCAGCCAUGCCGCGUGAGUGAAGAAGGCCUUCGGGUUGUAAAGCUCUUUCGGCGGGGACGAAACGGUUCGUGCUAAUACCACGGACUACUGACGGUACCCGCAGAAGAAGCACCGGCUAACUACGUG